rnacentral:rRNA from 1 species
AAACGGCGGCUAAUACCGUAUGAUGCCCUUAGGGGCCAAAGAUUUAUCGCCUUUGGAGCGGCCCGCGUCGGAUUAGGUAGUUGGUGGGGUAACGGCCUACCAAGCCUGCGAUCCGUAGCUGGUUUGAGAGGAUGAUCAGCCACACUGGGACUGAGACACGGCCCAGGCUCCUACGGGAGGCAGCAGUGGGGAAUAUUGGACAAUGGGGGCAACCCUGAUCCAGCCAUGCCGCGUGAGUGAAGAAGGCCUUCGGGUUGUAAAGCUCUUUUGGCGGGGACGAUGAUGACGGUACCCGCAGAAUAAGCCCCGGCUAACUUCGUGCCAGCAGCCGCGGUAAGACGAAGGGGGCUAGCGUUGUUCGGAAUUACUGGGCGUAAAGGGCGCGUAGGCGGUUUGUUAAGUCAGGCGUGAAAGCCCUGGGCUCAACCUGGGAUGUGCGCUUGAUACUGGCAGGCUUGAGUGCAGGAGAGGAUGGUGGAAUUCCCAGUGUAGAGGUGAAAUUCGUAGAUAUUGGGAAGAACACCGGUGGCGAAGGCGGCUAUCUGGACUGUAACUGACGCUGAUGCGACGAAAGCGUGGGGAGCGAAGCAGGAUUAGAUACCCUGGUAGUCCACGCUGUAAACGAUGAUUGCUCGGAUGUUGGCGGGCUAUGCCUGUCGGUGUCGCUAAGCUAACGUGAUAAGUCAUCCACCUGGGGAGUACGGUCGCAAGAUUGAAACUCAAAGGAAUUGACGGGGGCCCGCACAAGCGGUGGAGCAUGUGGUUUAAUUCGAUGAUACGCGAGGAACCUUACCUGGGCUUAAAUGGGAAAUGACAGUUUAGGAAACUAGACCUUCUUCGGACAUUUUUCAAGGUGCUGCAUGGUUGUCGUCAGCUCGUGCUGUGAGGUGUCGGGUUAAGUCCCAUAACGAGCGCAACCCCUAUUCUUAGUUGCCAGCGAGUAAAGUCGGGGACUCUAAGAAAACUGCCGGUGCAAACCGAGAGGAAGGUGGGGAUGACGUCAAAUCAUCACGGCCCUUACGUCCAGGGCUACACACGUGCUACAAUGGUGCAUACAAAGGGCAGCUAUCUGGUGACAGAAUGCUAAUCUCUAAAGUGCAUCUCAGUUCGGAUCGAAGUCUGCAACUCGACUUCGUGAAGCUGGAAUCGCUAGUAAUCGCGUU